CCGGACCCCACUGCUAUCGAGGUGGGACUAAGCCAUGCUAGUUGAGCGCACAGAACUAUGUCUGUGAGCGGCACACUGCUCAGUAACACGUAGCUAACCUACCCUUAGGACGUGGACAACCCCGAGAAAUUGGGGCUAAUCCGCGAUAGAUGUAUUGUCCUGGAAUGGUAUUACGUCUAAAGGUAUCCCAUACAUGUUUGGUAUACGCCUAAGGAUGGGGCUGCGGCCGAUCAGGCUGUUGGUGAGGUAAUGGCUCACCAAACCUUUGACCGGUACGGGCCAUGAGAGUGGUAGCCCGGAGAUGGACACUGAGACAAGGGUCCAGGCCCUACGGGGCGCAGCAGGCGCGAAACCUCCUCAAUGCACUUACGUGCGAGGGGGCUACCUCGAGUGCCACCUGAUGAAGGUGGCUUUUCCUAGGUCUAAAAAGCCUUGGGAAUAAGAGGGGGGCAAGACUGGUGUCAGCCGCCGCGGUAACACCAGCCCCUCGAGUGGUGGGGAUGAUUAUUGGGCCUAAAGCGUCCGUAGCCUGCCGUAUAAGUUUCCCGUUAAAUCCAGCGUCUCAAGCGUUGGACUGCGGGAAAUACUGUACGGCUAGAGAGUGGGAGAGGUCAGCGGUAUUCUGGGGGUAGGGGCGAAAUCCUUUGAUCCCCGGAGGACCACCAGUGGCGAAGGCUGCUGACUAGAACACGUCUGACGGUCAGGGACGAAAGCUGGGGUAGCGAACCGGAUUAGAUACCCGGGUAGUCCCAGCCGUAAACGAUGCAUGCUAGGUGUUGGGUUGGCCACGAGCCACCCCAGUGCCGCAGGGAAGCCGUUAAGCAUGCCGUCUGGGAAGUACGAUCGCAAGGUUGAACUUAAAGGAAUUGGCGGGGGAGCAC
rnacentral:rRNA from 1 species